AUGAAGAAGAAACAGAUGGUCCAUGGAAAUCAAAGCAACAAGCGUGCAUGGUUGGUUCAGAGAAAACAAAAUGGUGACAUUGAGUUUGCUUCGAGUACAACAGUUGACGAACACGCUUUAGAAGCAUCAAAUUUUGCUAGAGGCUCAACAUAUACCGAUUUGACUAGAAGAAAAGAAAUAAGUAGGUUGAAUCGAGCAAAUAGGAAGUUACAAUUGAUGAAAAAAAGAGGUAAAUCUCAGAGCUCUCCAAGUGAAGUUUCAAACUUCGGAAAACCAACAUGCUUAUGUCCAUUCUGCAAUGCUAUAAUGUGGCAUCAAGAGAGAAGCAAGAAUAACACAAACAUAUCAAGACCAACAUUCGGAGUUUGUUGCAAGGAAGGCAAAGUCAAAUUGCCACCAUUGAAAAAACCUCCAGCAUACCUUCAGCAGCUACUAAUGUCUAAUGAAAAGGGAGAAUCCUCAAAUUACAGAGACAAUAUCAGGAACUAUAAUUCAAUAUUUGCAUUUACUUCGAUGGCUGGCCAGGUCGACUACGAGAUAAACAAAAGAGGGGGUGCACCGUAUGUUUUUCGCUUGAAUGGCCAAAACUAUCAUCAAAUUGGCACAUUGCUACCUAAAGAUAGUGGAGAUAAUGGUUGCAGGCCAAAGUUUGCUCAAUUGUACAUUUAUGAUACAGAAAAUGAGGUCAAAAACAGAAUGCAGGCUUCAACCUCAAAGGAAAGGAAAACACAACUAGAUGAAGGCAUCGUGUCUAGAUUAUUGGAGAUGCUUGAUGAGAACAACGAGUUAGUGAAAUCAUUCCGUAUGGCAAGGGAUAGAUACCAAGAGUCAGAUCUCGAAAAUGUUAGGUUGCGAUUAAUUGGUAAAAGGUCCAGCGAUGGAAGACAAUACAACAUACCAACUGCAUCUGAAAUAGCUGCACUCAUUGUUGGGGAACAAACAGGAGAAAAUGUUGGCCGGGAUAUAAUAGUAGAAAAUAAAGACAAACAACUCCAAAGAAUUUCAUAA
rnacentral:rRNA from 1 species